rnacentral:rRNA from 1 species
GAUGAACGCUGGCGGCGUGCCUAACACAUGCAAGUCGAACGGAAAGGCACCAGCUUGUUGGGGUACCCGAGUGGGAGACGGGGGCGUAACACGUGUAUGAUCUACUCUACACUUCGGGAUGAGCCUGGGAAAGUGGGCCUAAUAUCGUACAGGACCCCAUCUUGGGUGGAGUGGUGGAAAGUUUUUCGGGUUGGGAUGGGCUAGCGGCCGAUCAGCUUCUUGGUGGGGUAAUGGCCUACCAAGGCGUCGACGGGUAGCCGGCCUGGGAGGGUGUACGGCCACAUUGGGACUGCGAUACGGCCCAGACUCCUACGUGAGGCAGCAGUGGGGAGUAUUGCCCAAUCGGCGCACGCCUGUUGCGGCGGCGCCGCGUGGGGGAAGACGGCCUUCGGGUUAUAAACACCUUUCGCUAGGGACGAAGCGCAAGUGACGGUACCUGGAGAAGAAGCACCGGCUAACUUCGUG